GUGGGGAAUAUUGGACAAUGGGCGAAAGCCUGAUCCAGCCAUGCCGCGUGUGUGAAGAAGGUCUUCGGAUUGUAAAGCACUUUAAGUUGGGAGGAAGGGCAUUAACCUAAUACGUUAGUGUUUUGACGUUACCGACAGAAUAAGCACCGGCUAACUUCGUGCCAGCAGCCGCGGUAAUACGAAGGGUGCAAGCGUUAAUCGGAAUUACUGGGCGUAAAGCGCGCGUAGGUGGUUUUGUAAGUUGGAGGUGAAAUCCCCGGGCUCAACCUGGGAACUGCCUCAAAAACUGCAUGACUAGAGUACGGUAGAGGGUAGUGGAAUUUCCUGUGUAGCGGUGAAAUGCGUAGAUAUAGGAAGGAACACCAGUGGCGAAGGCGACUACCUGGACUGAUACUGACACUGAGGUGCGAAAGCGUGGGGAGCAAACAGGAUUAGAAACCCCUGUAGUCC
rnacentral:rRNA from 1 species